UCCGGGCGUUCUACUGGUUCUGAGGAUUGU
rnacentral:piRNA from 1 species